GUACACUCCUACGGGAGGCAGCAGUGAGGAAUAUUGAACAAUGGGUGGAAGCCUGAUCCAGCCAUCCCGCGUGCAGGAAGACGGCCCUAUGGGUUGUAAACUGCUUUUAUCUGGGGAUAAACCUACUUACGUGUAAGUAGCUGAAGGUACCAGAAGAAUAAGCACCGGCUAACUCCGUGCCAGCAGCCGCGGUAAUACGGAGGGUGCAAGCGUUAUCCGGAUUUAUUGGGUUUAAAGGGUCCGUAGGCGGACUGAUAAGUCAGUGGUGAAAUCCGACAGCUUAACUGUCGAACUGCCAUUGAUACUGUUAGUCUUGAGUAAGGUUGAAGUGGCUGGAAUAAGUAGUGUAGCGGUGAAAUGCAUAGAUAUUACUUAGAACACCAAUUGCGAAGGCAGGUCACUAAGUCUUAACUGACGCUGAUGGACGAAAGCGUGGGGAGCGAACAGGAUUAGAAACCCUUGUAGUCC
rnacentral:rRNA from 1 species